UAAUGUGAUUGACUUUUCAAUAUUAACUGGAUAUUAACUUUCAAUAUUCAGGUGCAGGUUAAUCAGGGGUUGUCUUUAAGCCACUAAGCCAUACAAAGGCUUAAUCUCGGCGGAUACGCUUUGGAUAAAAUAAACAGCUUUAGUUAACCUGUUAGACUAUUUUUUUCUGUUGUUGGUGUUUACCUGAUUGUUGUAUCUUCAUUUAAAUUAUAUAGCUUAUAAAUGAAUGUUAAAAUUUAAAUUGUGAUUGACCACCAAGGAUUGGAAUCUGGAAAGGACCAGAACAUAAAAAUAAACAAACAAGCUGAAACACUCACAUAAACAUACACACGCUGACCUCAACCGUUAAUCAAUUGAUUCCCAAUUUAGUCUUCUUUUUGGAUUUCUCAUUGUUCUUUUCUGGUUAACAAAGUUCUUCUUCAUCUUCAUUAUCAUCCUGAUUAUCCUCCUUCACCAUCAACCUUACCUUAUAUUGCUUCCUUUUAUUUAUAUCUUCAUUGGUUCUUGUUUCUCUCUCUCACUCUUCUUUGCCUUCUUUUGCAGGAUUUUUACUGUAAACAAACCCUAUCAAAGUGCUUUUUAUGCGAUAACCUUUAUCAUUUUCGUCACCAUAACCUUUGGCCUUAAUCGGAUGAUGGUUAGCCUUCAUUCAAAGGAUUCAAUCACGUUAUCAAUGGAUUCACAGCUAAUCUGAUUAAGAGUAUUGCUAGAAAGCGCAAUUAUCUUGAAAUUACACUUGAUUCCAUGCUUUGGCUAUCCAUAAGUAUAGUAAUUUAAGGUUACUUCUUGAAGCGUCUUCGAUUACCAUUAAUGACAUAAAUAAUACAAAUUAUUAUUAGCUUAAUAAGUAACACAUCAUCAUCUUUACCAGGACUAUCAUCAUGAUGUUUCAUCAUUAUCAUUAUCACAAUGGAGACUCAGCAGCCAUCAACAUCUCAAUUUUUGGAUCAGGUUCAUCUAUUGUUGAUCUUGAUGAUCGAAUAUCAAAUUGGACAAUAUUGUUCUCUACCUGAUCAAGGAUAUCAAAGGGAUGUCAAGUCAAGAAAUAUUGUUGUUCAUCUUGUUGACAAAAAAUGAGUCAAGUACUCUAUCCCAACAUCAUAUUAAUAUCAUCUUUUUUUCAUGAUUGCUGGUGUCAUCAUUGUUAAUCCUGUUUGCAACUAUUAUCAACUUGCAAGUUUAAACAAUCUUAACUCUUUUUUUGGGUCCAACCUUUUCACCAAUCAUUGCUGUUUACAUUAAACUAGUCAAUUGAAACAGUUCAGACGAUGAUGAUGGUGGUGGUGGUUAAAAGAAGGAAAGAAGUCAAAAAAAAAUAGAUGAAAAUGGAUGAAAAUAAACAAACAAUGACAUUGGCCUGAAUCUUGUUGAUCAAUUAGGUUACUGAUGAUAAUGUUGAUUCCAAAUUAGUUGAACUACCCAUUAAGACCAACAUUGAUUUCGAAUCCGGAUCUCAAUCUAGUCUGGUUAAUGACAAUUGAUCACUAAACCAGUUAAGCCAUAAUCUGGAUAUUACGAUGUACUUACCAUUACAUUGUGAUUAAAUUAAGGUUUCGUAAGGUUUAAAAUCAUGCAUAACCGUCAAAUUUGAUUUGAUUAUUGAUGCAAAAUAAUAAGUUAUUUGAAAACAAUAUUUACCAAGUUUGAGUUUAAGUAUCAGACAGAAAAACUAUAGAAUCGAUGUUUAUCUGAAUAUUUCAUUAUUGGUGAGUUUUGAUUACAUUUUUGCAUUGAUUUUUGAUCAGAAAGUGCGAAUUUCGUGUUCAUAUAUUGAUUAAAAAAAAGCCUGAUGAGACAAAUUGAAAUAAAAUGGCAAGAGAAAUCUAUUAUCAAAGCAAUCCAUUUUAUAGAUGAUACUAUUUUCAAUCGGUUCAAUCUAAUUGUUAGGAUUAAACUAAACUCCAAAUUCACCUUUAUUAAUAUAAAAUAGUGAAAUUUAAUAAAUAAAUACAAAAUUGAUGAAAGUAGAAACGCAAUGACAAUUAUAUUUAAAAAUGUGAUUGAUUCAAAAAUGGAGCCUUUUGCAAAAACGUUUGUCUCCAAACCCAUCAACGAAUAGGAUUUGAUUAUUCUUAGCGCCUUUAUAAUCAUCAUUACUGUUAUUACUUUUGUUGUGAUUAUCAUAAUUAUAACUGCAACCAAUACACUUUUGAUUGACCCGGAUUUAAAGUUAAUCAAAAGAUUAUCAACUCCCAAUCAAUCUUACAAUUGAGUGUGUAUAUCAAGCAAAUUAUAUAUGAACAAGUUAAAAAAAGUGAAACAGUGAAAAGCCAUUUUUCAUCAAUAAAUAGGUAUCUUAUUGUUGAUUAUCUCGCUAUGUAAAAGCUUUCAAUACCAUAUAUCUUGAAUGGCAAACUGUUGAUGUGUAAAAUUGGAGCAUCUUUACAUGGAAACCUAGUUAACCAGGAAAAUUGGUCAAUUUUGAUCAAUGGCUUGAAUUGGAUGAUUUCGUAUACUAAUUUUGGUCACUUGAAGCAUUGGUUUACAUACAAUUAAGAGCAAUUAAGGAGGAAAUUAUCUUGGAUGUCGAUUUUUAAAAUUAUAAGCUGUUCUGGUGGAGUAAAGAUUGUUUGAUUUGACAAGGCUUUGUGUUGGGCUCUUCAGAUUUUUCAUUCAUUUCUUAUAUGCUUUUUUUGAGAUUAAUCCUUUAUUCGAUUUUUUUGAUUAUUUGAUUGAGUUGAGUUUGUUAUAUCUUAAAUCUUAUACUCAUGAUUUAAAAGAUAAUCAUCUUCACCUUAUUUCUAAAUUUGAAAUUUAUGAAAGUGAUGAUGAUCAGCAUAAAAUGAGAUUUUCACUUAAACGUUAGCUUUGAUUGAUCCCCAGUUGAUCAAUUGAUUUUAUUAAUAUUAUAUUGUUUACUCGAUUUCAUAAUUGCUCAAUCAAGGAUUAUCAUCAUCUCUAUUAAUAUCAGGAAUCACAGUUUUACCAACUAUAGCUAUAGUUAUAGUACAAUCAUCUGACAAGUUGACAUUAACGGUUAACAAUUCAAAUCAGAAUGCUCGCUCUUUACCCUUUAAAAUGAGAUCUUACCCGAUUCAACAUAAGCAUUUUGACAUUUUCAAUCAACUAACACAAAGAAUUUAAUAACAAUUCAAUUAAGCAAUCAAAAAAGCUGUAAAAAGUCUAUCGAAAUUCACUUUCAAUCAUGAAAUAAUAUUUUUGCAAAAGCGUAUUUCAAAACGCCCAUAAACAACAGCAUUUGUAUUGUUUGAAGAGAUUCAUUUUAUUAAUUAGCUUUAUUUUAACGCAUUUUAUCAAUUUCUGUUCAUGAAGAAAGGUGAAAAAACAAUUUAGUGGUUAUUUAAUGAAAUAACAGAAGAUUAUAUUGAUGAAAAUCAUGUUUUUACUCUAACAAUCUAAUACUUUGUUCAUUUUCGUUUCAGGAUUGAAACAUCAUCAUCAAUUAUGUUUUUUGCUUCCAAUUUCUGUACAUGAGUAUAAUUAUUUGAAACAAUUUCUUUAUUAUUAACUGUUACCAAUCAACUUCCGAGAUUGUAUAAUAACAAUUAACUUACCUUGAGGCUGUACAAAAAAUACCUAUUUAAUGGAGACAACAAAAUGUUCAAUAUGAGAGAUGGAAAGCAAGGCAAGUCCAGCAAAAUUGAAAAAAUUGAAGAAAAUGAACUCAAAUUAUUUAAAUCAUCCAACAAUUUAACAUGAUUUAUGGCAACAAAGAUGAUUAGAUUGCAAAAAAUUAAGAGUUGAACCAAUUUAAACAAGAUCUUGACCAAAGCGAUGUUAUUAGUUAAUAACAUUUUACUUUGCAUAUUUUAAA